ensembl:lncRNA
UCUCCCCCGUGGAAUCUGUCCCCCGUAGCGUCCGUCCCUCGUGGUGUCUGUCCCCCGUGGCAUCUGUCCCCCAUGGCGUCUGUCACCCGUGGCAUCUGUCCCUCGUGGUGUCGGUCCCCCAUGGUGUCUGUCCCCCAUGGCGUCUGUCCCUCGUGGCAUCUGUCCCUUGUGGCGUCUGUCCCCCAUGGCACUUGUCCCUCGUGGCGUAUGUCCCUCGUGGCAUCUAUCCCCCGUGGCGUCUGUCCCCGUGGCAUCUGUCACCCGUGGCAUCUCUACCUCUUGGAAUCUGUCCCCCGUAGCCUCCGUCCCCCAUGGCGUCUGUCCCUCGUGGCAUCUAUCCACCGUGGCAUCGGUCCCCCGUGGCGUCCGUCCCCGUGGCAUCUGUCGCCCAUGGCAUCGGUCCCCCGUGGAAUCUGUCCCCCAUAGUGUCCGUCCCCCAUGGCCUCUGUCCCCCGUGGCAUCAGUCCCCCAUGGCGUCUGUCCUGUGGCGUCUGUCCCCCGUGGUGUCGGUCCCCCGUGGCAUUGGUCCCCCGUGGUGUUCAUCCUCUGUGGCAUCUGUCCCCCGUGGUGUCCGUCCCUCAUGGUGUCUGUCCCCCGUGGCAUCUGUCCCUUGUGGUGUCCGUCCCCCGUUGUAUCUGUCCGCCAUUGUAUCUGUCCCUCAUGGCAUCUGUCCCCUGUGGCGUCCGUCCCCCGUGGCGUCUGUCCCCCGUGAUGUCCAUCCACCAUUGUGUCCAUAUCUCGUGGCAUCCAUCCCUUGUCGCGUCCGUCCACUGUGGCAUCUGUCCCCCGUGUCAUCUAUCCCUUGUGGUGUCCAUCCACCGUUGUGUCCAUCCCUCGUGGCGUCCAUCCCCCAUGGUGACCAUCCACUGUGGUGUGCAUCCCCCGUGUGUCCGUCCCCCGUGUGUCCGUCCCCCGUGUGUCCGUCCCCYGUGUGUCCGUCCCCUGUGGCGUCUGUCCCCCGUGGCAUCCAUCCCCCGUGGCGCCCGUACCCCAUGGCAUCUGUCCCCCGUGGCGUCUGUCCCCCUGGUGUCCAUCCCCCAUGGCAUCCGUCCCCUAUGACCUCUGUUCCCCGUGGCAUCUGUCCCGCAUUGUGUCCAUCCCCCAUGGCAUCCAUCCCCCAUGGCAUCCGUUUCCCAGGGCAUCUGUCUCCUGGGGCGUCCGUCCCCUGUGGUGUCCAUCCACCGUUGUGUCCAUCCCCUGUGACAUCUGUCCCCCAUGGUAUCUGUUCCCCGGGGCAUCCAUCCCCUGUGGCAUCUGGUUCCUGUGGCAUCUGUCCCUGUGGUGUCCAUCCCCCAUGGCAUCCGUCCUCUGUGGUUUCUGUGCCCGUGGUGUCCGUGCCAGUGCUGUUCAUCCCCCGUGGCGUCCGUCCCCCGUGGUGUCCGUCCACUGUGGCAUCCAUCCCCCGUGGCUCUGUCCCCCGUGGCGUCCAUCCCCAUGGUGUCCAUCACCCGUGGCGUGCAUCCCCCAUCAUGUCCGUCUCCUGUGGCGUCCAUCCACCGUGGCAUCCGUCCCCAUAGCAUCCAUCCACUGCGGUGUCCGUCCCCCGUGACGUCCAUCGCCAUGGCAUCCAUCCCCCGUGGUGUCUGUCCCCCGUGGCAUCUGUCCCCAUGGUGUCUGUUCCCCUUGGCAUCUGUCCCCGUGGCAUCCAUCCCCUGUGGCAUCUGUCCCCUGUGGCGUCCGUCCCAGUGGCGAUCAUCCCCCAUGGCAUCCAUCCCCCGUAGUGUCCCUCCCCCGUGGCGUCCGUCCCCAUGGCACACCUACCUUAUGGCAUCCAUCCCUCGUGGUGUCCAUCCCCCGUGGCCUCCGUCCCUGUGGUCUUCAUCCCUUGUGGCAUCCGCACUGCCCGUUAAAGCCAGGCUGGAGCUGGAGCUGGCUCUUUGCUGGGCCUUUCCCUCCCCGAAAUCCUCUGGUCCCAGGCUGCGGCUUGUGCUGCUCCGCAGUGCAUCGGGAACACGAGGAUAUGCUGAUACCCGCGCCGGAGAAUAUUAGGAGAAAAACGCCCAAAGUGUUGUGACAAAAUAGUUUGAAAGUAAAGGACGAGGCUCAGCCCAGCUUCUGCCCUUCGUGGUGGCCUUCGUUUGGCGACCCGCGUUUCGGUUUGCGGGGGCUCCACCGACACGGAGUGCGAUUUAGUCACCCGAUGGGAAAGACGACGUUUGCCCAGCGAGCGGCGCGCGCCGGCAGCUCUUUGCGGUCGCCCCCUCGAAGGCAGGAUUGGGGCAACGCGAAUCUGGCCCAUCCGCGCCGAGGCCACGCAGCACUGCUGCCUGCUGGCCAGACCGCGCUGCAAGUGGCCGGUGGCCCUGGGACUCCGUCGGGGCAGCGGCUCUGUCGUGGCCGUGGCCAUUGUGAUGUCAAGGUAGCCAUGGCGCCGGCGGAGCCGCAGACGACCCGYGCGGUUUCCCACUGGGAAACCAGUGCUUUUCAUUCCUGUUAAGUGGAUGUUCGUAGCAAGGGACCUUUCUUCUUUGCACGUUAAAGCAGGUUUAGCAACGGGCAUCAGCCAAGACAGCAUCA